AUUGAACGCUGGCGGCAGGCCUAACACAUGCAAGUCGAGCGGAUGAAGGGAGCUUGCUCCUGGAUUCAGCGGCGGACGGGUGAGUAAUGCCUAGGAAUCUGCCUGGUAGUGGGGGAUAACGUCCGGAAACGGGCGCUAAUACCGCAUACGUCCUGAGGGAGAAAGUGGGGGAUCUUCGGACCUCACGCUAUCAGAUGAGCCUAGGUCGGAUUAGCUAGUUGGUGGGGUAAAGGCCUACCAAGGCGACGAUCCGUAACUGGUCUGAGAGGAUGAUCAGUCACACUGGAACUGAGACACGGUCCAGACUCCUACGGGAGGCAGCAGUGGGGAAUAUUCGACAAUGGGCGAAAGCCUGAUCCAGCCAUGCCGCGUGUGUGAAGAAGGUCUUCGGAUUGUAAAGCACUUUAAGUUGGGAAGAAGGGCAGUAAGUUAAUACCUUGCUGUCUUGACGUUACCAACAGAAUAAGCACCGGCUAACUUCGUG
rnacentral:rRNA from 1 species